UAGGGGGAAACAUUUAAAA
rnacentral:rRNA from 1 species